AUCGAACCCGGAGAUAGCUGGUUCUCCUCGAAAUAGCUUUAGGGCUAGCCUCAUGGAUCAUUGAUGGGGGUAGAGCACUGAAUGUGCGCGGGGGCCACAAAGCCUACCAAACGCUAUCAAACUUCGAAUACCAUACAAUGCAGACCAUGGGAGUCAGUCCGCGAGAGAUAAGUUCCGCGGGCAAAAGGGGAACACCCCAGAUCAACCGCUAAGGUCCCCAAGUUCACGUUAAGUGGAGAAGGAUGUGGAAUUGCACAGACAACCAGGAUGUUGGCUCAGAAGCAGCCACACAUUUAAAGAGUGCGUAAUAGCUCACUGGUCGAGUGAUUGUGCGCCGAAGAUGUCCGGGGCUAAACGUGACACCGAAGCGAUGGGUGCAUCUGAAAGGAUGCGCGGUAGAGGAGCAAUGUGCAGAGGCAGAAGCCGUAUCGAGAGGCACGGUGGACACUGCACAAGAGAGAAUGCCGGUAUGAGUAGCGAGAGGCAUGCGAGAAACAUGCCCGUCGAAAGCCCAAGGUUUCCUGGGGAAGGUUCAUCCGCCCAGGGUAAGUCGGGGCCUAAGCCGAGGACGGAAGUCGUAGGCGAUGGACAGCAGGUGUAGAUUCCUGCACUACCGAUGGAAUGAAGCAGUGACACAGAAGGAUAACUCGAGCAGGGUGAUGGUCAACCCUGUGCAAGCAUCAAGGUUGGGUUGUAGUGAAGUACGCAACCCUAUAAGCUGAGAUGUGAUGCGGACCGAAAUUUCAGUAGGGAAGCGAGUGAGUUCACGCUGGCGAGAAAAGCUGCUAGUACAUCCAAAGGUACCCGUACCGGAAACCGACGCAGGUGGGCGAGGAGAGAAUCCUGAGACGAACGGGAGAACCCUUGUUAAGGAACUCGGCAAAAUGACCCCGUAACUUCGGGAUAAGGGGUGCCUGCGAGAGCAGGCCGCAGAGAAUAGUCACAAGCGACUGUUUAGCAAAAACACAGGUAUCUGCGAAAGCGAGAGCUGACGUAUAGGUGCUGACACCUGCCCGGUGCUGGAAGGUUAAGGGAACAUGUUAGAGCAAUCGAAGCAUCGAACCGAAGCCCCAGUAAACGGCGGCCGUAACUAUAACGGUCCUAAGGUAGCGAAAUUCCUUGUCGGGUAAGUUCCGACCCGCACGAAUGGUGUAACGACUUGUGAGCUGUCUCAACAGGGGGCCCGGUGAAAUUGAAGUAUGGGUGAAGAUGCCCAUUACCCGCGACUGGACGGAAAGACCCCGUAGAGCUUUACUGCAGCCUGAUAUUGAGUUUCGGUAACUGAUGCACAGGAUAGGUGGGAGUCUGAGAGACAUGGGUUUCGGCUCGUGUGGAGACGAUGUUGGGAUACCACUCUUCGGUUACUGAAAUUCUAACAUAGCUCUGUGAAACCAGAGGAUGGACAGUGUCAGGUGGACAGUUUGACUGGGGCGGUCGCCUCCGAAAGAGUAACGGAGGCGCCCAAAGGUACCCUCAGAAUGGAUGGAAACCAUUCGAAGAGCGCAAAGGCAGAAGGGUGCCUGACUGCGAGAUUGACAAAUCGAGCAGAGACGAAAGUCGGGCUUAGUGAUCCGGCGGUAUUGAGUGGAAAAGCCGUCGCUUAACGGAUAAAAGCUACCUCGGGGAUAACAGGCUGAUCUCCCCCAAGAGUCCACAUCGACGGGGAGGUUUGGCACCUCGAUGUCGGCUCAUCGCAUCCUGGGGCUGUAUUCGGUCCCAAGGGUUUGGCUGUUCGCCAAUUAAAGCGGCACGCGAGCUGGGUUCAGAACGUCGUGAGACAGUUCGGUCCCUAUCCAUCGUGGGCGUAGGAGUCAUGAGAGGAGCUGUUCCUAGUACGAGAGGACCGGAAUGGACGCACCACUGGUGCAACUGUUGUCGUGCCAACGGCAUAGCAGGGAAGCGAAGUGCGGAUGGGAUAAACGCUGAAGGCAUCUAAGCGUGAAGCCCACCUCAAGAAUAAGUGUCCCAUUCGAAAGAAGUAAGACCCCUGGAAGACUACCAGGUGAUAGGUCAUCGGUGAAAGAGCGGUAACGUUUGGAGCUUGAUGAUACUAAUCGGUCGAGGACUUGAUCU
rnacentral:rRNA from 1 species